rnacentral:rRNA from 1 species
AUGGCUCAGAUUGAACGCUGGCGGCAGGCCUAACACAUGCAAGUCGAGCGGAUGAAGAGAGCUUGCUCUCUGAUUCAGCGGCGGACGGGUGAGUAAUGCCUAGGAAUCUGCCUGGUAGUGGGGGACAACGUUUCGAAAGGAACGCUAAUACCGCAUACGUCCUACGGGAGAAAGCAGGGGACCUUCGGGCCUUGCGCUAUCAGAUGAGCCUAGGUCGGAUUAGCUAGUUGGUGAGGUAAUGGCUCACCAAGGCGACGAUCCGUAACUGGUCUGAGAGGAUGAUCAGUCACACUGGAACUGAGACACGGUCCAGACUCCU